GGGUUGAAAAGACCCAUAGUGAUUCUUUAUCUCCUCCAGCCAUUUAAGAACUUGCUCUAAGCCUUUGGCGUGUAAAAAACGACUCUUUUUGCUCCACUAAAGGAGUCUUUGCACCAAAAAAAUAAGGUCGUCUAAAUGAUGCCAGAGAGUAUAGUCCCUUUCAAACUUUGACAUCAACAAAGAUUUCGAAUCCGAUUUCACCUUCUUGUCAAUGCUUGGCCGCUUUUGUUAA
rnacentral:lncRNA from 1 species